GUGGGGAAUAUUCCGCAAUGGACGAAAGUCUGACGGAGCAACGCCGCGUGAGUGAUGAAGGUUUUCGGACUGUAAAGCUCUGUUGUUUAGGACGAAAGUGCCUGUUGCAAAUAGUUACAGGUAUUGACGGUACUGAACGAGGAAGCCACGGCUAACUACGUGCCGGCAGCCGCGGUAAUACGUAGGUGGCAAGCGUUGUCCGGAAUUAUUGGGCGUAAAGAGCAUGUAGGCGGGAAUCUAAGUCUGUUGUGAAAAUGCGGGGCUCAACCCCGUAUUGCGAUGGAAACUGGGUUUCUUGAGUGCAGGAGAGGAAAGGGGAAUUCCCAGUGUAGCGGUGAAAUGCGUAGAUAUCGGGAGGAACACCAGUGGCGAAGGCGGGUUCCUGGCCCAUGACUGACGCUGAGGUGCGAAAGCCGGGGGAGCGAACGGGAUUAGAAACCCCGGUAGUCC
rnacentral:rRNA from 1 species